rnacentral:RNase_P_RNA from 1 species
AUAAGAUGAAUAUGAAUGAUGCACUUUUAACAUAAACAAGCGCUUAUGUCGCUUAUCUGAGAACUCCUGGGAAGGUCUGAGAAAAGGUACUAUGUUAUGUGAAUCUUCUAGCAGGAGAGUGGCGUAAUACGCUGCAAGGUUCGUACUAGAAAAACGGCACACUUCAUAUAUGAUGAACGCAUGAGGGCUUCACUGGUGCCAGACGUGCAUAUAUGAAGUGUUGGAAGGAGACCCUCGUACCGGCUGUGCUUAGUGCAAUAACCAGAUGGAAUUAU